UUCCAUAACUGUGUGAGAAAGGAGAUGAUUCAUUUUCAGAAAUACCAAAUAAAUGCUGUGUUGUCUAGUUAACAGUAGGUUUAUAACCUAUUGGAAAUAUGUACAACCCCCCCCCCCCCAACAAUGGAGUCCCAAACCCUUAGACACUUCACUUCCUGGUUCUUCUUCCCCUCUCUA